AACCAAGAAAUUUAGUCAUUCUUUUACGGUAAAAAGACAGUUAGGCAAAUUAGAGCGAUUAUUAGAUCUUUAGUAGAGGGGUAAAAUCUAUAUACUAAAAGUUAUUCCUGAAAUGAUUUGCUAAAAAGCUGAAUCUGUGACAACUUUAGGGGAAACUGGGAUUGGAUACCCCAUUAUUUUUAGUCGUAAAUUUAGUUUAACUUACCUGAGUACUACGAAUAAAAAGUUUAAAACUCAAAGGGCUUGGCGGUGUUUUAAACCUUUCAGGGGAACCUGUCUCGUAAUCGACAAUCCACGUUAUACCUAACCUCUUAUAGUGAAACAGCCUGUAUACCGUCGUCGCCAGGUAACUUCUAAAAAUAGAGUAGUUAGCUUGAAAAUCUAAUUGAUUAGGACGUCAGAUCAAGGUGCAGCUAAUGAAGAGGUGAGGAUAGGUUACAAUUACAUAUUUGUAAAUACGGAAAACACUUGAAAUAAGUGCUUAAAGGAGGACUUGAAAGUAAUCGUAAUUAUAUAAAUAAAAUGAAUAAGGCUCUGAAACGUGC
rnacentral:rRNA from 1 species